GCUUACAUGUAUAAAUAUAUGUGUACAUUAAUUAUAGAUGCACAUACACAAAUUAUAGCCUAUUAUCAUGACUCCAAGGCUAAGCUUCGUGAAUAAUUUUCUGCUCUCCACGGACCGUAUAAAGCAUAGUGACUCUGGUGUUUCACAGCUUCCUCUUUUGCUACACUGUCCUCUUGCAGAGGGAAAAAAAUGUGACCAGAGAAGAGAAGAGAGCUCUUGGAGUUGCCGUUAGUUUAGCUCAACUAUUUAUGCAGCUUCACAAGCAACUAUAAAUAAGACAGAGAGUCCCUUUAGGACAUCUUGCGAGACAUGGUCUGGAGUAAUUUCAAGAAACAGAGAGGGAAGAAGGAAUAAGAGGGGCCAAGAAAAGAUCCAGAGAGAGAGACCUCACACAACGGAGCGAAAGGAGAGAGGGAUGCGGACUAUCACAGAAGCCAGAAGGAAGGAACUUCCAACAUGCAGACGAAAUGCAUCACCUCCUCACACACGUAUGUCAUUUCCUCAAAGGCAUGGAGCUAGUUGUCUGCGGGAUCCUCUUCAGCUCUGAGAAGUAAGAUUCUAAUGUUUACUCCAUCUCACAGCUAAGGGUCUUCAACCAAACCACUUUCUUCGCCAGGCCUUCGGCGGUUGGCUGCCCCUGCCCUCCUGGCCAGGGCCCACUCUUCAUGCACUUUCUGCCUUCUCUUCUGAGAUGAGACCAUUAGCAGCCAAGAGUGAUCUUGUUAUACCUGUGAAGGCAAAGCUGGAUCCUGUGCCAACCCCACCUCCCCUCCCACCUCAAGUACAACCAAAUGCUUCAAUGGUCCCCACUGAUUGCAGCUUUACAUUUUGAAUGUGAUUAAUUUGAUGAAGACCUUCAGGUUAGGUGUCCUGUUGGUUUUUCUUCGCCAUUGGAUUUCCAGCCCUGGCGUGAGCUCAGGAAGCAAGACUCUAGCCCUGCGCUUCCCACUGCUUUGAAUGGUCUUCCCCCAGAUAGCCGACUUCCUGGAAGACUCUGCCUCUCUCCCACCACCUUGAUCCCUGACCGUCCUGUUAAAAACACACCUCAGUCCCUCAGCCGGCUUUCUUUUACUUCAUAGCACUUGUCUCCACCUGAAGUUGCCUCCUCUGUUUAUCUUUUUCUUUAUAUUUGUUCUUUGCUUGUUUGGUGCCUGUCUCCCUGCAGCUGACUGUAAACUCCGAGGGAAGCGAUCGUGCUCUGCUGUUCACUUCUGCACCGCAGUCCCUGGGAUGGGACUUAGCACGAUCCACGCCCCGUAAACGUUUGUGAAAUGAAUAGAGGCGUUGUGUGAAAAGUAUUUUUGUAUGGAAAUGAAGGAAGGAAGGAUGGAAAAAUGGAAAUAAGAAAAGAACAAAAAAGGAAAGAAGGAAGAAAGAACUCUACAAGGACUCUCAUAUGGCUAAUCUUCACAUUCAGCUGGAGGAACCCUUACGCCUAUAUUACAGCUUCUUGUUGCCCCAGUGUUUUUAAGAAAAACAGUGAAAACGAAUGGCCUGAGAGAGUCAGCAGACACUGACGCGGGCUCUGCCCUGCCACAGUGCCGAUGUUCUCUGGGCUAACAAGGGAGCAGGGCUGGAGGGUCUCUGAUGUUCCACCCCCCAUUACAAUUCUGUGGUUCUAAACUUUUAAUUCCGAAAUGUAAUUGCUUUCUAUUUCCCUACUGCCAGAUCCAAAAUAAUUAUAUUGAAGAUUUAGAUUCAACUUUUCAGUAAAAUAGCUUAAUUGAAGAAAUGCAGAAUCAA
rnacentral:lncRNA from 1 species